rnacentral:rRNA from 1 species
CCUACGGGAGGCAGCAGUAGGGAAUCUUCCACAAUGGGCGAAAGCCUGAUGGAGCAACGCCGCGUGGGUGAAGAAGGUCUUCGGAUCGUAAAACCCUGUUGUUAGAGAAGAAAGUGCGGGAGAGUAACUGUUCACGUUUCGACGGUAUCUAACCAGAACGCCACGGCUAACUACGUGCCAGCAGCCGAGGUAAUACGUAGGUGGCAAGCGUUAUCCGGAUUUAUUGGGCGUAAAGGGAACGCAGGCGUUAUUUUAAGUCUGAUGUGAAAGCGUUCGGCUUAACCGGAGUAGUGCAUUGGAGACUGGGAGACUUGAGUGCAGAAGAGGAGAGUGGAAUUCGAGGUGUAGCGGUGAAAUGCGUAGAUAUAUGGAAGAACACCAGUGGCGAAAGCGGCUCUCUGGUCUGUAACUGACGCUGAGGUUCGAAAGCGUGGGUAGCAAACAGGAUUAGAUACCCCAGUAGUC